rnacentral:rRNA from 1 species
GACGAACGCUGGCGGCGUGCUUAACACAUGCAAGUCGAGCGGUAAGGCCCUUUCGGGGGUACACGAGCGGCGAACGGGUGAGUAACACGUGGGUGACCUGCCUUUAGCUCUGGGAUAAGCCUGGGAAACUGGGUCUAAUACCGGAUAUGACUCCAUGAUGCAUGUUGUGGGGUGGAAAGCCUUGUGCGGCUGGAGAUGGGCCCGCGGCCUAUCAGCUUGUUGGUGGGGUGAGGCCUACCAAGGCGACGACGGGUAGCCGGCCUGAGAGGGCGACCGGCCACACUGGGACUGAGACACGGCCCAGACUCCUACGGGAGGCAGCAGUGGGGAAUCUUGCGCAAUGGGCGAAAGCCUGACGCAGCGACGCCGCGUGA